rnacentral:lncRNA from 1 species
GAAACACUUUCACCUACCCCUCACUGCCGAUUUACCGCAACCCAUGGUGCACACCCGUAGCUGCGCCGCUGUCGAGCCGUCCUUCACCGUGAAUAGCUGCCGCGCUGAUUUUUGGCACCCCAACACGUGAAUUUGGCUGACGGUGAGUCCUCCUCAUCAUACUUCCUAUCGGCGUCCUCUUUUUCCCCUCAACAUGAAGCCUCCUCCUCAUCUUUUUCUUCGUCGCACACAUUUCCCACGCCGUCUCCAAACGUCGAUGACACCACAGUGUUCUCGAUCCCUCUGUGCGCGCCGCCUUCUUUACUAAGCACUACCCCUUUUCCCUCAUCUCCGUUGCAAACUGAACCACCGCUGUCACCCUUUCCUCUACAUGACGAACAAACCCUUCUUUGCCUUCCACCACCAUUGCCCCUACCCCUUAUGCACACGCCACGACGUCACCACCAAGUUCGGCAUAAAAACUGUCACGACGACGGCACUGCCGUAGGACUACACAGCCCUCGGCCCAACCAACGGACUCAAGCGUCAGUCAUUCUUCCAACUCCAACGCCAGCGCCCCCGAACAACUUACUCGUUCUGGCACCCCCGAUAUUUGCGACAACCAGCAAUCGCUGCCCACUCGUGGACGCACCUAUCAAUCUCGAGCAACUGUCUUACCACCUGAGUGUUAUUUACAUGGAAACUUAGUCUUUGAUACUCCUAUCAGCCGAAACAGGUAUGAUCAUUUACGCCAUAAACAACUCGUGCCUUGCAAAUGUUUGUCAUUACCUGUUUUGGAUGCUUUACAUCUUGCGACUAAUGUUACUACUUAUUUUCGCAAUAUUAGUUGGGUUGGUAAUUUGAUAAUGCUCACUGUGCCUAUUAUGAGUUAGUUUUGGAAUUCUAUUCCACAUUUCAUUUUCAGCGACAUGGUCAACUAUCAUUGGAUACACCUAGUGUUGUUAAGUUUCGAUUUCUUGGCACCAUGCAUAGUUUGUCCUUCACUGAUUUUACUAUUGUAUUAUCUUUUGUGACUGAGGAUGAUACUAUAUCCACUGCUUAUGAAAACAGCCUAUGCACUUUUUUUGUAGAUUUUAAGGCUGAAGAGGCAUUUGUUUUAUUAACUGAUAAUGCCGAAUCCAUGUAUAGCCCAAAAACAUCAAAGGAUUUAUGGUUUCGUAACCCCGCUUUAUGUUACAUAGACCAUUAUUUGGCUUACAAUUUUUCAGGCCGUCGAAAUUCUUCGGCUACCGUCUCGAAGACAGAAUUAUUCUUAUUAUGGUGUAUGUAUACCGUUCGUUUGAUGAAUUUGGGUUAUUGGUAUGCGCUACAAUUCGAACAUGUUAUAAAUGCAAUGUGACCUCUAAUUUUAGGCUCUUUUAUUACACAACUGUUAUUUUCUCUGCAUGGUAUUAAUACUCCUAUAUCAAAUUUGCAUGUUGCUAGUCAGACCGAUCCUUUGUAUGCCCAAUGUCUCGACUUGAUGGGACUGCUUCUUGGCACUCCAUCCUCCUUCCGUUUUGUCCCUUCAGAUGUUCGCUCCAAACAGACUGAAUGAGUCUUUCGACGGUAAAAUCACGAUAAUCACCCACUCAAGCCCAACCUUUGAUGACCG